AAUUACAGGUCCCUAAGUGAAAGGAAGCUUCUCACCUUCUCAAAAAGACACCUCUUUGGAGGAGACCCAGAGAAUCUCAUACUCUAAUCUGGAGGCACACACUUGGGGUUCCUGCAACUGAGGUUUUUGCUUGAAUACAUUAAGGCUGCGAUACUGGAAGAUCUAAAACUCCCAGAGUAUAUCAGGUGAGGUAUUAUAAUUGGUUGAUCUUUGGUAUCCUGGU
rnacentral:lncRNA from 1 species